UACAGAGGGGCAAGCGUUAUUCGGAAUUAUUGGGCGUAAAGGGCGCGUAGGCGGCUUGGCAAGUGGAUGGUGAAAUCCCUCGGCUUAACCGAGGAACUGCCGUCCAAACUGCUUCGCUUGAGACCGGGAGAGGUGAGUGGAAUUCCCAGUGUAGCGGUGAAAUGCGUAGAUAUUGGGAGGAACACCAGUGGCGAAGGCGGCUCACUGGACCGGUACUGACGCUGAUGCGCGAAAGCGUGGGGAGCAACA
rnacentral:rRNA from 1 species